GGGUGCGGGAAGUGAUUUCCCGCAGGAGCAUCGGACGGUCGGGCCGCCGUUCG
rnacentral:ncRNA from 12 species